rnacentral:rRNA from 1 species
CCUACGGGUGGCAGCAGUGGGGAAUAUUGCUCAAUGGGCGAAAGCCUGACGCAGCGACGCCGCGUGAGGGAUGAAGGUCCUCGGAUCGUUAACCUCCUUCAGCAGGGGAGAACGGUCACUGUCCUAAUCAUCAGUGAAUUUACUGUACCUGCAAAGGUAGCAUCGGCUAACUCCGGGCCACCAGCCGCGGUAAUGCGGGGGGUGCGUGCGUUAAUCGGUAUUACUGGGCGUAAAGGGCUGGUAGGCGGUAUGUCAAGUCCAGGGUGAAAUCCCCGCGGUCAACGUGGGAACUGCCUUUGAAACUGGCAAACUGGAGAGUGUGAGAGGAUAGUGGAAUGCAAGGUGUAGGAGUGAAAUCCGUAGAUAUC